rnacentral:rRNA from 1 species
GCUUAGCCUUAAACCUUAAUAAUUAUAGUAACAAAAUAAUUUGCCAGAGAACUACUAGCCACCGCUUAAAACUCAAAGGACUUGGCGGUACUUUAUAUCCAUCUAGAGGAGCCUGUUCUGUAAUCGAUAAACCCCGCUACACCUCACCACCCCUUGCUAAUUCAGCCUAUAUACCGCCAUCUUCAGCAAACCUUUAAAAAGAAUAAAAGUAAGCAAGAGUAUAAAACCAUAAAAACGUUAGGUCAAGGUGUAGCUUAUGGGGCGGGAAGAAAUGGGCUACAUUUUCUUACAUAGAACAUAAACGAAGGUCUUAUGAAACUAAAGAGUAAAGGAGGAUUUAGUAGUAAAUUAAGAAUAGAGAGCUUAAUUGAAUCGAGCAAUGAAGUACGC